UUGAAAUGCGUAGAGAUCGGAAGGAACAUCAGUGGCGAAGGCGAUUGACUGGGCUGAUACUGACGCUGAGGUGCGAAGGCGUGGGUAGCAAACAGGAUUAGAGACCCUGGUAGUCCACGCAGUAAACGAUGAGAACUAGCUGUUGGGAAGCGUCGACUUCUUAGUAGCGAAGCUAACGCGUUAAGUUCUCCGCCUGGGGAGUACGGUCGCAAGAUUAAAACUCAAAGGAAUUGACGGGGGCCCGCACAAGCGGUGGAACAUGUGGUUUAAUUCGAUGCAACGCGAAAAACCUUACCUAGUCUUGACAUCCUCGGAAGGCGCUAGAGAUAGCGCUGUGCCUUCGGGAACCAGGUGACAGUGCUGCAUGGCUGUCGUCAGCUCGUGUCGUGAGAUGUUGGGUUAAGUCCCGUAACGAGCGCAACCCUUAUCCUUAGUUGCCAGCACCUCGGGUGGGAACUCUAAGGAGACUGCCGGUGAUAAACCGGAGGAAGGUGGGGACGUCGUCAAGUCAUCAUGGCCCUUAUGACUAGGGCUACACACGUGUUACAAUGGGCAAUACAGAGGGCAGCAAAGCGGCGACGUGAAGCUAAUCCUUAAAAUUGUUCGUAGUCCGGAUUGGAGUCUGAAACUCGACUCCAUGAAGUUGGAAUCGCUAGUAAUCGCGAAUCAGCAUGUCGCGGUGAAUACGUUCCCGGGCCUUGUACACACCGCCCGUCACACCAUGGGAGUGGGUUGUACCAGAAGCAGCUAGGCUAACCCUCGGG
rnacentral:rRNA from 1 species